rnacentral:rRNA from 1 species
GAUGAACGCUGGCGGCGUGCCUAAUACAUGCAAGUCGAGCGAACGGACGAAGCUUGCUUCUCUGAUGUUAGCGGCGGACGGGUGAGUAACACGUGGAUAACCUACCUAUAAGACUGGGAUAACUUCGGGAAACCGGCGCUAAUACCGGAUAAUAUUUUGAACCGCAUGGUUCACAAGUGAAAGACGGUCUUGCUGUCACUUAUAGAUGGAUCCGCGCUGCAUUAGCUAGUUGGUAAGGUAACGGCUUACCAAGGCAACGAUGCAUAGCCGACCUGAGAGGGUGAUCGGCCACACUGGAACUGAGACACGGUCCAGACUCCUACGGGAGGCAGCAGUAGGGAAUCUUCCGCAAUGGGCGAAAGCCUGACGGAGCAACGCCGCGUGAGUGAUGAAGGUCUUCGGAUCGUAAAACUCUGUUAGUAGGGAAGAACAUAUGUGUAAGUAACUGUGCACAUCUUGACGGUACCUAAUCAGAAAGCCACGGCUAACUACGUG